rnacentral:lncRNA from 10 species
AAGCCAGGAAGUUUAAGCAAGAGGGCCUUUUGAGAGCCCAGAUGUUGUCUCAUGUCUCAUUCUUUUUCUGCCCCUCAAUCUGCUUGGAGCUUUUCUUUUUUCCUUCUAAUGCUCUAACGAUGAUGAUAUUGUGCGAGAUCAGCCUGGGACUGGAGACGAAAAUGCACAUGCAGUUAUAGAAGCAUGAACAGCUGAAGCAUGAAACUAAUACGAUCAAGAAAAGUAAUAGAAAAAUCCUAGAGGCUGAUUUAAAAAAAAAAAAAAAGACAAUGCUGAAUCUGAAUCUCUACUGCUGGGUAAAUGAGCUGGAAGGACCGUUACUGGAAAGAAAGUGAUAAUUAUUCACACCAACUUUAGCUAGGACUGGGUUAGCUGUGGAUGGCAUCAGAGCAAGGAGAGGGCAUGCUGCUUUGCUGUGACAUUCCUUUAGUUUUCCUCACCCCCAUUUCUGUGGCUUGGUCUAAAGGGAUUUCUACGACCUGGUUCGAAAUCUGAGAUCAGAUUUGGAACAGAAUUCCUGCCACCUUCUGGGAUGCUGCAAACCCAGCUGGAAACCCUGAGCCUCUGUGACAGCACCACAUUAUACUUUCCAUGAGUUACAUCCUCAACGCCUCCUGAGGCUGCUGGCCAAGACUGUGCACAGAGAAGCGAGGCAUCUUUCCUGGGGCUGAAAGGAGUCUGUGUUAGAAAAUGUAGAGCAGAGUACAGCAUUCUUCCCUCCUGUGGACUCAGAAAAAUAAGGCAGAGCAAAUACCAGCUAGCAGCUACUUUGCAUUCUGGGCAAACCCCUGCAAUGUGAGACCAUCAGGCUGCAAAAUGGGCCCCCCAGGCAAUACUGAAAUCAGCAAUAAUAUGGAGAGAAGAGGUACUACGAGGAGUGAAGCUGAGGCAGUUCCCAUGGCUUUCUGUGUUGAUUCCAGAAAUUAUUGCCAAAACAUCAAGUCCAGAGUCUCAGAAGGCACCUGUCUGGAAACCAGAAAUAGGGCCCUCACCAGACACUGAAUCUACCAACACCUUGAUCUUGGACUUCUCGGCCUCUAGAACUGUAAGAAAUAAAUGUUUGUUUGUGUAGGGUAGAAGAAAAGCUUCCUCUCUGCCCACUGAAGGUUUGCUGAAAAUGAACUGACAAAAGAGAGAUUGAUCAGAGAAAGAGGCACACAAAAUUUAUUUAACAUGCACAGGGGAAAAUCACAGGAAUGUGAUUACCCAAUAACCCAAUGAGGUUCAGAUGCUUAUAUAUCCUCCUCCACAGGGGAAGGGGAGAUGAUGGGUGUAGGAGUAAAUGCUUUUCAGGGAAAUGAAUGAGCCCAAAAAACAAUGGCCUGAAACAAAGUUCUUCUGAGCUCUGAGGAAGGUGAUAAAAAGGUGAGGGGUGGAAGUUCUUGUGAAUAAAUGUCUUAUUAUGUAGAUGAAACCUCCCAAGUAAUCUCCAAGAGCUGCCCUCAGGGGAAAAGAUGAAAAGUCUGUUUGUG